ACGGACGCUUGUCUCUGAGACUAAGCCAUGCAUGCGGGUGAACGAAAGGGAACGGCGAACGGCUCAGUAAUACCGCGACGAUCUGCCCCCCGCGGGAAAUAACCACGGAAAACUGUGG
rnacentral:rRNA from 1 species